rnacentral:rRNA from 1 species
AAGCGUACACGGUGGAUGCCUUGGCAGCCAGAGGCGAUGAAGGACGUAGUAGCCUGCGAUAAGCUUCGGGGAGUCGGCAAACAGACUUUGAUCCGGAGAUUUCCGAAUGGGGAAACCCACCUGUCAUAAGGCAGGUAUCACAUACUGAAUACAUAGGUAUGUGAGGCGAACGCGGGGAACUGAAACAUCUAAGUACCCGUAGGAAAGGACAUCAACCGAGACUCCGUCAGUAGCGGCGAGCGAACGCGGACCAGGCCAGUGGCAUGGUUAAGUAAAGUGGAACGAUCUGGAAAGUUCGGCCGUAGCGGGUGAUAGCCCCGUACACGUAAUCCUUAAUCUUGUCCUUGAGUAAGGCGGGACACGUGAAAUCCUGUCUGAACAUGGGGGGACCACCCUCCAAGCCUAAGUACUCGUGCAUCACCGAUAGCGAACCAGUACCGUGAGGGAAAGGUGAAAAGAACCCCGAUAAGGGGAGUGAAAUAGUUCCUGAAACCGGAUGCCUACAAGCAGUUGGAGCCUCUUUAUGGGGUGACAGCGUACCUCUUGCAUAAUGGGUCAGCGAGUUAGUCUUACAAGCAAGCUUAAGCCGAUAGGUGUAGGCGCAGCGAAAGCAAGUCUUAA